rnacentral:rRNA from 1 species
AAGACUAUGACGUUGAUAGGUCGGGUGUGUAAGUGUAGCGAUACAUUGAGCUAACCGAUACUAAUGAACCGUGAGGCUUAACCUUACAACGCCGAAGGUGUUU